rnacentral:rRNA from 1 species
AUACGGAGGAUCCGAGUGUUAUCCGGAUUUAUUGGGUUUAAAGGGUGCGCAGGCGGAAGAUUAAGUCGGCGGUGAAAUUUUGCAGCUCAACUGUAAAAGUGCCUUCGAAACUGGUUUUCUUGAGUGUAGAUGAAGUAGGCGGAAUUUGUGGUGUAGCGGUGAAAUGCUUAGAUAUCACAAAGAACUCCGAUUGCGCAGGCAGCUUACUAAACUACAACUGACGCUCAGGCACGAAGGCGUGGGUAUCGAACAGGAUUAGAUACCCUGGUAGUCCACGCAGUAAACGAUGAUUACUCGCUGUUUGCGAUAUACAGUAAGCGGCCAAGCGAAAGCGUUAAGUAAUCCACCUGGGGAGUACGUUCGCAAGAAUGAA